rnacentral:rRNA from 1 species
GACGAACGCUGGCGGCGUGCUUAACACAUGCAAGUCGAACGGAAAGGCCCUGCUUUUGUGGGGUGCUCGAGUGGCGAACGGGUGAGUAACACGUGAGUAACCUGCCCUUGACUUUGGGAUAACUUCAGGAAACUGGGGCUAAUACCGGAUAGGAGCUCCUGCUGCAUGGUGGGGGUUGGAAAGUUUCGGCGGUUGGGGAUGGACUCGCGGCUUACCAGCUGGUUGGUGGGGUAGUGGCUUACCAAGGCUUUGACGGGUAGCCGGCCUGAGAGGGUGACCGGCCACAAUGGGACUGAGACACGGCCCAGACUCCUACGGGAGGCAGCAGUGGGGAAUAUUGCACAAUGGGCGGAAGCCUGAUGCAGCAACGCCGCGUGCGGGAUGACGGCCUUCGGGUUGUAAACCGCUUUCGCCUGUGACGAAGCGUGAGUGACGGUAAUGGGUAAAGAAGCACCGGCUAACUACGUG